GAUGAACGCUAGCGGGAGGCCUAAUACAUGCAAGUCGAACGGGUGAAUUAGCUUCGGUUGGUUCACUAGUGGCGCACGGGUGAGUAACGCGUACGCAAUCUGCCCUAUGCUGGGGAAUAGCCCUGGGAAACUGGGAGUAAUACGCCAUAGUUCUACGGAUCUGCAUGGAUUUGUAGAUAAAGCUGCGGCGGCAUAGGAUGAGCGUGCGUCUGAUUAGGUAAUUGGUGAGGUAACGGCUCACCAAGCCGACGAUCAGUAAGGGGCGUGAGAGCGUGGCCCCUCACACGGGUACUGAGACACGGACCCGACUCCUACGGGAGGCAGCAGUAAGGAAUAUUGGACAAUGGGCGCAAGCCUGAUCCAGCCAUCCCGCGUGCUUGAUGAAGGCCCUCUGGGUUGUAAAGAGCUUUAGUCUGGGAAGAAACCGUUUUCUGCGGAAGACGCUGACGGUACCAGAAGAAUAAGCACCGGCUAACUCCGUGCCAG
rnacentral:rRNA from 1 species